GGAUGGAGGAAUACUUACCAAGCAAAUGGAGAGGGAAAAAGCAGGGGUUGCAAUCCUAGCCUCUGAUAAAAAGGACUUUAUACCAACAAAGACAAAAGAGACAAAGAAGGGCAUUACAUAAUGGUAGAAGGAUCACUGCAACAAGAAGAACUAACGAUCCUAAAUAUAUACGCACCCAAUACAGG